GACGAACGCUGGCGGCGUGCUUAACACAUGCAAGUCGAACGGAAAGGCCCUGCUUUUGUGGGGUGCUCGAGUGGCGAACGGGUGAGUAACACGUGAGUAACCUGCCCUUGACUUUGGGAUAACUUCAGGAAACUGGGGCUAAUACCGGAUAGGAGCUCCUGCUGCAUGGUGGGGGUUGGAAAGUUUCGGCGGUUGGGGAUGGACUCGCGGCUUAUCAGCUUGUUGGUGGGGUAGUGGCGUACCAAGGCUUUGACGGGUAGCCGGCCUGAGAGGGUGACCGGCCACAUUGGGACUGAGAUACGGCCCAGACUCCUACGGGAGGCAGCAGUGGGGAAUAGUGCACAAUGGGCGGAAGCCUGAUGCAGCAACGCCGCGUGCGGGAUGACGGCCUUCGGGUUGUAAACCGCUUUCGCCUGUGACGAAGCGUGAGUGACGGUAAUGGGUAAAGAAGCACCGGCUAACUACGUG
rnacentral:rRNA from 1 species